rnacentral:rRNA from 1 species
AACGUACGCUGGCGGCACGCCUAACACAUGCAAGUCGAACGAAGUAGCAAUACUUAGUGGCAGACGGGUGAGUAACAUGUAGGUAUCUGCCCUUUGGCCUGGAAUAACACGAGGAAACUUGUGCUAAUACCGGAUAAGUCUUUACGGAGAAAGCUUUAUGCACCAUUGGAUGAGCCUGCACUUGAUUAGUUUGUUGGUGGGGUAAUGGCCUACCAAGACUGUGAUCAAUAGCUGAUUUGAGAGGAUGAUCAGCCACAUUGGGACUGAGACACGGCCCAAACUCCUACGGGAGGCAGCAGUGGGGAAUCUUGCACAAUGGAGGAAACUCUGAUGCAGCGAUGCCGCGUGAGUGAAGAAGGCCCUCGGGUUGUAAAGCUCUUUCGUCGGGGAAGAAAAUGACUGUACCCGAAUAAGAAGGUCCGGCUAACUUCGUGCCAGCAGCCGCGGUAAUACGAAGGGACCUAGCGUAGUUCGGAAUUACUGGGCUUAAAGAGUUCGUAGGUGGUUGAAAAAGUUAGUGGUGAAAUCCCAGAGCUUAACUCUGGAACUGCCAUUAAAACUUUUCAGCUAGAGUAUGAUAGAGGAAAGCAGAAUUUCUAGUGUAGAGGUGAAAUUCGUAGAUAUUAGAAAGAAUACCAAUUGCGAAGGCAGCUUUCUGGAUCAUUACUGACACUGAGGAACGAAAGCAUGGGUAGCGAAGAGGAUUAGAUACCCUCGUAGUCCAUGCCGUAAACGAUGUGUGUUAGACGUUGGAAAUUUAUUUUCAGUGUCGCAGGGAAACCGAUAAACACACCGCCUGGGGAGUACGACCGCAAGGUUAAAACUCAAAUGAAUUGACGGGGACCCGCACAAGUAGUGGAGCAUGUGGUUUAAUUCGAAGAUACGCGCAGAACCUUACCAACACUUGACAUGUUCGUCGCGACUCUAAGAGAUUAGAGUUUUCGGUUCGGCCGGACGAAACACAGGUGCUGCAUGGCUGUCGUCAGCUCGUGUCGUGAGAUGUUGGGUUAAGUCCCGCAACGAGCGCAACCCUCACUUUUAGUUGCCAUCAUUAAGUUGGGCACUCUGAAAGAACUGCCAGUGAUAAGCUGGAGGAAGGUGGGGAUGACGUCAAGUCCUCAUGGCCCUUACGUGUUGGGCUACACACGUGCUACAAUGGUAUCUACAACAGGAAGCAAGACUGCGAAGUUAAGCAAAUCCCUAAAAGAUACCUCAGUUCGGAUUGCACUCUGCAACUCGAGUGCAUGAAGCUGGAAUUACUAGUAAUCGUGGAUCAGCGUGCCACGGUGAAUGCGUUCCCGGGUCU